CCUACGGGAGGCAGCAGUGGGGAAUAUUGCGCAAUGGGCGAAAGCCUGACGCAGCGACGCCGCGUGAGGGAUGAAGGUCUUCGGAUCGUAAACCUCUGUCAGCAGGGUAGUACGGUCACUGUGCUAAUCAGCAGUGAAUUGACGGUACCUGCAAAGGAAGCACAGGCUAACUCCGUGCCAGCAGCCGCGGUAAUACGGAGGGUGCGAGCGUUAAUCGGAAUUACUGGGCGGAAAGCGCUCGUAGGCGGUAUGUCAAGUCAAGGGUGAAAUCCCCGCGCUCAACGUGGGAACUGCAUGUGAAACUGGCAAACUUGAGUGUGUGAGAGGAUAGUGGAAGUCCAGGUGUAGGAGUGAAAUCCGUAGAUAUCUGGAGGAACAUCAGUGGCGAAGGCGACUAUCUGGCACAUAACUGACGCUGAGGAGCGAAAGCGUGGGUAGCAAACAGGAUUAGAUACCCGAGUAGUC
rnacentral:rRNA from 1 species